rfam:Vibrio metschnikovii CIP 69.14 VIB.Contig139, whole genome shotgun sequence.
GGUUAAGUGACUAAGCGUACACGGUGGAUGCCUAGGCAGUCAGAGGCGAUGAAGGACGUAUUAACUUGCGAUAAGCGUAGAUGAGGCAGUAAAAGCCACUCGAGUCUACGAUUUCCGAAUGGGGAAACCCAAGUGCAUAAGCACUUAUCGCUGCGUGAAUAC